rnacentral:rRNA from 1 species
AACGAACGCUGGCGGCAUGCCUAACACAUGCAAGUCGAACGAGAUCUUCGGGUCUAGUGGCGCACGGGUGCGUAACGCGUGGGAAUCUGCCCUUUGGUUCGGAAUAACAGUUGGAAACGACUGCUAAUACCGGAUGAUGACGAAAGUCCAAAGAUUUAUCGCCAGAGGAUGAGCCCGCGUAGGAUUAGCUAGUUGGUGUGGUAAAGGCGCACCAAGGCGACGAUCCUUAGCUGGUCUGAGAGGAUGAUCAGCCACACUGGGACUGAGACACGGCCCAGACUCCUACGGGAGGCAGCAGUGGGGAAUAUUGGACAAUGGGCGAAAGCCUGAUCCAGCAAUGCCGCGUGAGUGAUGAAGGCCUUAGGGUUGUAAAGCUCUUUUACCCGGGAUGAUGAUGACAGUACCGGGAGAAUAAGCUCCGGCUAACUCCGUGCCAGCAGCCGCAGUAA